rnacentral:lncRNA from 1 species
AUAUUGCAGUGGAUUCGAGGGUACUCCCGGGUGGUGAGUUUGAGAUUGAUGUGGAGACGUCGUAUCGCCGUGCCGAUUGAGGAAUUAAAUAAUCGUCAUGGUGAGCGAGUUUAGACGAUGAGUCGAUUCCUAUUACUAUUGGAAGGUUGGCUACAUUCAAUGUUGGUUUAGAACCGUUCGUGUCAAGCAAGAUUGGACGGAUGGGCGGAAGUUGCAAUUAGCAACGAGAUGGAAGGGGU